rfam:Triticum urartu cultivar G1812 contig92490, whole genome shotgun sequence.
CAUUUACUUCCUCCGUCUGAAAAUACUUGUCAUCAAAAUAGAUAAAAGGGGACAUAUCUAGACGUAUUUGAGUUCUAGAUACAUCUCUUUUUAUCCAUUUUGAUGACAAAUAUUUUUGGACGGAGGGAGUAUAUC